GCGGGCAUAGUUUAGUGGUAAAACUCUAGCCUUCCAAGCUAGUCAUGCGGGUUCGAUUCCCGCUGCCCGCU
rnacentral:tRNA from 1 species